rnacentral:rRNA from 1 species
UUUUGGCCGUGGUCUGCUAGUGUCGUGAAAAGUUUGGUUAAGUGCAAUCAUCGUGCGCAACCCUUGUCGCUUGUUGCCUGCACUUCGGGUGGGAGCUGUUGCGAUACUGCCUGUGACAAACCGGAGGAAGGUGGGGAUGACUUCAAGUUUUCAUGGCCUUUAUGCCCAGCACUGUACCCCUUCUGCAAUGGGCGGUAUAGAGGGUAUGCAGCCCGCGAGGGGGAGCCAAUUUCACAAAGCCGCUCACUAGUCCGUGAUUGGAGUCUUCAACUCGACGAAAUGAAGUCGGAAUCGUCUUGUAAUCGGGGUCAGCAUGGCCACGGUGUUUCUUCUCUG